rnacentral:misc_RNA from 1 species
GGAAAAUAUUCCAGAGAAACAAAGUGGAACAAAUUUGUCAUCUUCAAGGCUGCCUUUGGUUCUUCCCGAGAAAGUACAGAGGACAAAGGCACUUGUGGAGUGUGAAGGUGAUUCCAUAGAUCUGAGUGGUGAUGUGGGUGCUGUCGGGAGGAUAAUUGUUUCGGAUGGCCCAUCAGGAAACCAUGAAAUGCUUCUCGAUUUGAAAGGAACCAUAUAUAAAACGACAAUAUUG